GAUGAACGCUGGCGGCGUGCCUAAUACAUGCAAGUCGAGCGAACAGACGAGGAGCUUGCUCCUCUGACGUUAGCGGCGGACGGGUGAGUAACACGUGGAUAACCUACCUAUAAGACUGGGAUAACUUCGGGAAACCGGAGCUAAUACCGGAUAAUAUAUUGAACCGCAUGGUUCAAUAGUGAAAGACGGUUUUGCUGUCACUUAUAGAUGGAUCCGCGCCGCAUUAGCUAGUUGGUAAGGUAACGGCUUACCAAGGCAACGAUGCGUAGCCGACCUGAGAGGGUGAUCGGCCACACUGGAACUGUGACACGGUCCAGACUCCUACGGGAGGCAGCAGUAGGGAAUCUUCCGCAAUGGGCGAAAGCCUGACGGAGCAACGCCGCGUGAGUGAUGAAGGUCUUCGGAUCGUAAAACUCUGUUAUUAGGGAAGAACAAAUGUGUAAGUAACUAUGCACGUCUUGACGGUACCUAAUCAGAAAGCCACGGCUAACUACGUG
rnacentral:rRNA from 1 species